UACGUAGGGUGCAAGCGUUAUCCGGAAUUAUUGGGCGUAAAGAGCUCGUAGGCGGUUUGUCGCGUCUGCUGUGAAAACUGGAGGCUCAACCUCCAGCCUGCAGUGGGUACGGGCAGACUAGAGUGCGGUAGGGGAGAUUGGAAUUCCUGGUGUAGCGGUGGAAUGCGCAGAGUAUCAGGAGGAACACCGGUGGCGAAGGCGGGUCUCGUGGGCCGAUACUGACGCUGGAGGAGCGAAAGCGUGGGGAGCGAACAGGAUAGAUACC
rnacentral:rRNA from 1 species